GCCCGUGUAGUUCAACUGGAUAGAAUAUCGGAUUUCGGCUCCGACGGUUGGGGGUUCGAAUCCCUUCGCGGGUA
rnacentral:tRNA from 1 species